GUAAUAGCUCACUGGUCGAGUCGGCCUGCGCGGAAGAUGUAACGGGGCUAAACCAUGCACCGAAGCUGCGGCAGCGACACUGUGUGUUGUUGGGUAGGGGAGCGUUCUGUAAGCCUGCGAAGGUGGCCUGUGAGGGUUGCUGGAGGUAUCAGAAGUGCGAAUGCUGACAUAAGUAACGAUAAAGCGGGUGAAAAGCCCGCUCGCCGGAAGACCAAGGGUUCCUGUCCAACGUUAAUCGGGGCAGGGUGAGUCGACCCCUAAGGCGAGGCCGAAAGGCGUAGUCGAUGGGAAACGGGUUAAUAUUCCCGUACUUGGUGUUACUGCGAAGGGGGGACGGAGAAGGCUAUGUUGGCCGGGCGACGGUUGUCCCGGUUUAAGCGUGUAGGUGUGUGUUCCAGGUAAAUCCGGUUCACUUUAACACUGAGGCGUGACGACGAGGCACUACGGUGCUGAAGCAACAAAUGCCCUGCUUCCAGGAAAAGCCUCUAAGCAUCAGGUAACAUCAAAUC
rnacentral:rRNA from 2 species